rnacentral:sRNA from 1 species
GGGAGAGAGAGGCCGGUCCUGGUCUGGCCGCUGCGGCUGCUAGCCCGAGGUCUCCAAGCCGGGCUGCGGCUCCAUCCUCGGCUCCUGGGCACCGUCUGCGAGGCUCCGCCGACCAGAGUGAGAAAGCCGCGGGCGGCGACCGCCGCAUCAUGUCAGCCAAGGACGAGCGGGCCAGGGAGAUCCUGAGGGGCUUCAAACUAAAUUGGAUGAACCUUCGGGAUGCUGAGACAGGGAAGAUACUCUGGCAAGGAACAGAAGACCUGUCUGUCCCUGGUGUGGAGCAUGAAGCCCGUGUUCCCAAGAAAAUCCUCAAGUGCAAGGCAGUAUCUCGAGAACUUAAUUUUUCUUCGACAGAACAAAUGGAAAAAUUCCGCCUGGAACAAAAAGUUUACUUCAAAGGGCAAUGCCUAGAAGGUAUUCUGCUGCCUACAUGCCUGAAAUCAGGGCUUAGGGCGACCAGGACAAAAGGCAACAAUAUCCAAUGAACUGAAGCAGUGCUUUGAUAACAUUCCUUUUACAACUCAGUUUGUGGUAGGAUUCCUACACUCUGCAAGACUGUGAAUCCCCAGUGAAACAAACCAAAACAAAGCUAGCCACUACAAGGGGCUUUGAGGUCUCUGACACUGGGAGCAUGGAUGGUGGUGCCUGGUUUAGGCACUGACGUUGUAUUGUGAUAUGAUCUGGAGGAAGCUGCUAUGAGCAGGGCCUAGUACAGUGCUCUACAUACAGUAUCAUACAGAUUUGACUGGCAAGGCCACUCUGCAUUGAAUUCUCACCAUGCAGUGUAAAGGGCGCAUAAGCCCCUUCAAGCUAAUUCCAAGUGAAUUUAACUAUGUAUCUAUAUAUAGUUCACAUCUAGCCUACCUCUAAGAAAAUGCUGCUUAUAUUGUGUCCUGCUCGCUGGUCCUAGUCCUUUAGACCUCAAAGUAUGAGAAGCAAGCCUUUGGUGUGGUUCAGAGGACAACCUGAGCAGGCUUCCCUGUCUUUUUUAUGCCCCUGGUCUG